GACGAACGCUGGCGGCGUGCCUAAUACAUGCAAGUUGAGCGCUGAAGGUUGGUACUUGUACCAACUGGAUGAGCAGCGAACGGGUGAGUAACGCGUGGGGAAUCUGCCUUUGAGCGGGGGACAACAUCUGGAAACGAAUGCUAAUACCGCAUAAAAACUUUAAACACAAGUUUUAAGUUUGAAAGAUGCAAUUGCAUCACUCAAAGAUGAUCCCGCGUUGUAUUAGCUAGUUGGUGAGGUAAAGGCUCACCAAGGCGAUGAUACAUAGCCGACCUGAGAGGGUGAUCGGCCACAUUGGGACUGAGACACGGCCCAAACUCCUACGGGAGGCAGCAGUAGGGAAUCUUCGGCAAUGGACGAAAGUCUGACCGAGCAACGCCGCGUGAGUGAAGAAGGUUUUCGGAUCGUAAAGCUCUGUUGGUAGAGAAGAACGUUGGUGAGAGUGGAAAGCUCAUCAAGUGACGGUAACUACCCAGAAAGGGACGGCUAACUACGUG
rnacentral:rRNA from 1 species